rnacentral:lncRNA from 1 species
CCUCACUUUGCUUAUGAAGUGAAGCUGCGGUUCAAAACAAACAUCAAGUUACUAGAUGUCUUCCUGCUAUAAUUGGAUUUAAUUCAUUAUCUUUCAUUUCAAUAAAAUCACAGGAAAACACAGGGAUGUAAAUGUGUAGGCUAAUUGCUUAUGGAAAUUCAGGUGCCGCGCUUGGUAUAAAUUUACCCUUUGCAAGAGGAAGACACAGUUGUGUCAUUAUCAUAGAAUUUUACAACAAUAUGUAAUUAUAGAGAGAAGCAGGUGUAAUUAGCAAGUCUUUCCACAAAGCAGGUAGCAUUCCUGGUUAAAUAUUUACAGCUGCACAAACAGCCGGUAAUAAUGAGAGUUUUCUCAGCCUCACGUUACAGAGCACCCAACGAAUACUAUGAAAAGUGGUCAUUAUCAGCCCGGCAAACACUGCUGUGCCGUCUUGCUUGCGAGGAAUGCUGCUGCAUGGGUUUCAAGACAAGAAUCCAGGCUGAAUCAGCAGUGCGGUUUCAACAGUGAUGAGAACAAGAAACCCACAGCAAACUGCGUAAAUGCCGCAGGCACGCAAGCCGACUCCAAACCGCCUACCAAGGGUCAGCUCUACCUGCAGCUGUUGCACAAAAUAAAAUCAACGCAGCCCACCCC